CAGAUUAAAAUUUAUAUAGAAAUUUUUAUUUACAAUAAAGACUUUAUUGUGUAACUCAGUAUAAUUUGA
rnacentral:tRNA from 1 species